CUGGGGUCUGCUUACCAUGGAAGUCGGACGGUCGCUUUAUUUCGGAGGAUUCUUAGUGGCGAACGGGUGAGUAACACGUAGGCAACCUGCCCUUUGGAUGGGAUCAACAUUCCAAAAGGAUUGUUAAUACCCAAUGUGAUCCAUUUCUCGCAUGAGAGAUGGAUGAAACAUGGCCUCUAUUUAUAAGCUAUCGCCAAAGGAUGGGCCUGCGUCUGAUUAGUUAAUUGGUGGGGUAACGGCUCACCAGUACGAUGAUAAGAACCCGGGCUGAAAGGAUGAAGGGCCACCUUGGGACUGAGACACGGCCCAAACUACUACUUUUGGCAGCAGUGGGGAAUCUUCCGCAAUGGAGAAAGUCUGACGGAAAACGCCGCGUGAGUGAUGAGGUUUUCGGACUGUAAAACUCUGUUGUCAUGGACGAAGGUGCGAUCUGCGAAUAGUUGAUCGUAUUGACGGUACCUGACGAGGAAGCCACGGCUAACUACGUGCCAGCAGCCGCGGUAAUACGUAAGUGGCAAGCGUUGUCCGGAAUUAUUGGGCGUAAAGAGCAUGUAGGUGGGCUUUUAAGUCCGAUGUGAAAAUGCGGGGCUCAACCCCGUAUGGCAUUGGAUACUGGAAGUCUUGAAUGCACGAGAGGAAAGGGGAAUUCCCAGUGUAUGCGGUGAAAUGCGUAGAUAUUGGGAGGAACACCUGUGGCUGAAGCGACUUUCUGCACUGUGUCUGACACUGAGAUGCGAAAUCUAUACUCGCAAACGGCAUUAGAUACCCCGGGUGUCCUAGCCGUAGGCUAUGGGCACUCUCUGUAGGGAGUAUCGAGCCC
rnacentral:rRNA from 1 species